rnacentral:rRNA from 1 species
UACAGAGGUCCCAAGCGUUGUUCGGAUUCACUGGGCGUAAAGGGUGCGUAGGUGGUCGGGUAAGUCUGAUGUGAAAUCUCCAAGCUUAACUUGGAAAUGGCAUCGGAUACUAUUCGGCUCGAGGAAUGGAGGGGAGACUGGAAUACUUGGUGUAGCAGUGAAAUGCGUAGAUAUCAAGUGGAACACCAGUGGCGAAGGCGAGUCUCUGGACAUUUCCUGACGCUGAGGCACGAAAGCCAGGGGAGCAAACGGG